CCCGAGGGCUCGAUCUUUUCGCUUCUUCCCUUUUCUUCCCUCUUCCUUCUUCUUUCUUUCCUUCAUCGUGUUCAAUCCCCCGACUCAACCGGGGAACUGCUCGGUGAACCGCACGUCUUGAGGUCAGUAGGGGCGGUCGGAACGAUAGGUGGAGCGGUGAAAUGCGUAGAUAUCUAUCGGAACGCCGAAGGUGAAGACAGGCCGCUGGGCUGAUUCUGACGCUGAGGUACGAAAGCGUGGGGAGCAAACGG
rnacentral:rRNA from 1 species